ACAAGAUGCCGAUACGUCAAUUGGACUUUUGCGAAGCACACACAUAACUAGAGGGGAGUUUGACGUUUAUUGGAGAAAAUCUUAUAAUUACAGAACAAACGAAAUUAAAACAAUGAAAUCUACUUCCGAGAUCUUAAAAAAAAUGGCCAGAAUACGGAAUGCCAUCCGGCAGCGAAUUGAUUUCUAUUGACUUCUCCAUGAAAUAUCCAUUUUGUACUGAUUUGCACAUCAAAUGGUCUGACAACGGCGAACAAAUUUGGAAUUUAUUGAAAUGUAAAAUACCAAAUCCGACAGUUUCUGCCGCAUCGCAGAAGUUUAAUAGUAUUUCGAAAGCAACAUUUCCGCAGUUUUUUUUUUGGCAUCUUCAAAAACUUUUUCCACCACCAUUUAGCUGUUUUAACUGAAGCGAACGGCUCUAAACAAAGAAAGAAGUUUUCUAUAGCUGAUUCCCAGGUAUAUUUCGUAUUAAUUGGAAAAACUAAAGGCGAAGUUGACGCUUAGCUGAAUGUGCUGAAAUUCCAGUGUCGAAACAUACAGCCAUUACUUUUGGCAACUUGUUUAAACUAUAUUUCGUGUUUAAUAUCGAGUUUCCAAAACAAUCUCAAAUGUUCUACUCAUCUAUUCAAACUUUUUU
rnacentral:sRNA from 1 species